rnacentral:snoRNA from 1 species
AUCCUUUUGUAGUUCAUGAGUGUAAUGAUUGAGUGUUCAUGCACAUGUGUGAGAUAUGCCACCCUUGAACCUUGUUACACCGGUUGUCAUGUUGGCCCGUUUGACA